AAUUAAUAAAAAUGGUAAAAAACUGUAUCAGAUUGUUACAAAAGCAAAUUUGAUAAGAAGAAAAUUUGCUUGGUCAGAUAAUCGACUGCUUAUUUUACUGUAGCUGGCAUCAGGAAGCAUCCAAUCAUUUGUACAUAUGCAAGUUCCCCAAGGGGAAAAUAUAUAUGCAUCAGGACGCAGCUUAGCCAGCACUCUGUUGUAGAAUACUUACAUAGAAAUUUACCAAACUCUAAUUCAAUAUUUCACUUUGU